ensembl:lncRNA
CAUUUUUGAGGACAAAAAAAGAGAUGGCCCAGGCACGAAGGACAUUUGCACAGACAAUACUUGAGGCCUCCGUAUUUGACAGUGACACCAACUGUGCCAUGUGUGCAACGGAGAAACCACCCAAUCCAGGACCCUCCAUCACUGACUGGAUCCAGUGUGAUAACUGCAACUGCUGGUUCCAUUCUGAAUGCCUGGACAUGACAAAUGAACAGCUCAGCAGCGCUCAGAAGACAGAGUGGAAGUGUGUGCUUUGUGUAACCUAAUUCCACAUGCAGUGAAAGCUACUAGAAUAAUCUGCUUAUAGUUAUUAUUGGUGUUUUG